AACUUUUUGAAUGUUAAUUCACGGGUAAACAUGUUUAGUUAAUGUUGUGUUUUCACUUGUGUUGAACACAAUGUUAAUUGUUCUCUUUGUGCCAUGUUCUGUUUUCUUCUAUUGUUAUUUAAAUAACUACAGUAUGCAGUGGUUGUUCUCUUUUUAUUGUUAUUCAAAUUGUAAGAUUUACAAGUUCUUUUCAAUAAAUUGUCAUUAAUUAUACAAGAGACUCCUUUUUAAUUAAAAAUUCAAUUCCCAUGGGAAUUGAAAAAAAAAAUAAAAAAAAUUCCCCUACCCCGGCCGGCUCCCCAAGUACUACCUCCACUUCAAGCAGAAGUGCUUCUACAAUAUAGUAGAAGUACUUCUACUUAAAGUAGAGGUAGCAUUCGGAGAGCCAGCCGGGGUAGCGGGGCGAAGAGAAGACCAACCUUGCAAAUAUGCUAAUGCAAAUUGCUAAGUUGAUCCUCUCUUUGAGAGCAGCCACGCGCAUACCUAGCAAAUGUAAAACAACAAGCAUUAGUAACAAAUACUCGACAUGCAAAUUUUGAAUCCCGUGGCCGAAAUGACAAGUGCCCCCCACUGAUUCCUACCAACUGCCUACCUGCCUCAGUUCUAAGCUGUCUGCCUCGGUCCUAAACUGUCUGCCUCGGUCCUAAGCUACCUGCAUUCCAUUCGUAACUUCCGCUUUCCUCACCAUCACACAGACACUCGCUACUGCCCAACCUGCCACCAACCCGAACUGCCCACCCUUAAAACUGAAGGUAUUAAAAUCUUGGCAAAGUAUACAUAAUUAAUUAAUUAUUCGGAUAUUUUAGGCCAAACGCAAACGGGAUAAAUUAAAGGUUGACGAUUAAGAAAGCCCGCGUACACAAACAGGUGAGUUUCUGACUUGCCUAUAUACAUGAAAUUUACUCAGAAAAAUAUACGAAACCUUGAAAUCCGGAUUUUUCCUACUAUAUA